GUGGGGAAUAUUGGACAAUGGGCGAAAGCCUGAUCCAGCCAUGCCGCGUGUGUGAAGAAGGUCUUCGGAUUGUAAAGCACUUUAAGUUGGGAGGAAGGGCAGUAAGUUAAUACCUUGCUGUUUUGACGUUACCGACAGAAUAAGCACCGGCUAACUUCGUGCCAGCAGCCGCGGUAAUACGAAGGGUGCAAGCGUUAAUCGGAAUUACUGGGCGUAAAGUGCGCGUAGGUGGUUUUGUAAGUUGGAGGUGAAAUCCCCGGGCUCAACCUGGGAACUGCCUCCAAAACUGCAUGACUAGAGUACGGUAGAGGGUAGUGGAAUUUCCUGUGUAGCGGUGAAAUGCGUAGAUAUAGGAAGGAACACCAGUGGCGAAGGCGACUACCUGGACUGAUACUGACACUGAGGUGCGAAAGCGUGGGGAGCAAACAGGAUUAGAAACCCUUGUAGUCC
rnacentral:rRNA from 1 species